rnacentral:rRNA from 1 species
UACGAAGGGGGCUAGCGUUGUUCGGAAUUACUGGGCGUAAAGCGUGCGCAGGCGGCUUCUCAAGUCAGGGGUGAAAGCCCAGAGCUCAACUCUGGAAUUGCCUUUGAGACUGAGUGGCUUGAGUACGAGAGAGGUGAGUGGAAUUCCCAGUGUAGAGGUGAAAUUCGUAGAUAUUGGGAAGAACACCGGUGGCGAAGGCGGCUCACUGGCCCGUUACCGACGCUCAGGCGCGGACAGCGUGGGGAGGCAAACAGG